rnacentral:rRNA from 1 species
GGGGGGGGCAAGCGUUGUUCGGAAUUACUGGGCGUAAAGGGCUCGUAGGCGGCCAACUAAGUCGGAUGUGAAAUCCCCAGGCUCAACUUGGGAACUGCAUCCGAUACUGGAUGGCUUGAAUUCGGGAGAGGGAUGCAGAAUUCCAGGUGUAGCGGUGAAAUGCGUAGAUAUCUGGAGGAAUACCGGUGGCGAAGGCGGCUACCUGGACCGGUUCUGACGCUGAUGCGCGAAAGCGUGGGGAGCAAACAGGAUUAGAUACCCUGGUAGUCCACGCUGUAAACGAUGGGUGCUCGGUGUCGCGGGUAUCGACCCCUGCGGUGCCUUAGCUAACGCGUUAAGCACCCCGCCUGGGGAGUACGGUCGCAAGGCUG